AAAUGGGUAGAAUGAAUCCUGAGUUGAUGGCGAGAUUUGUACAGUGUGCCUCUCUUUUCUCAACAGUCUGAUCUUUGUUCAGUCUCCUAUACCAGGACAAAGCCACAGGUUGAAGAGCUGUAAUUUUUUUAAUCUAUACUUAUAUGGAGCAUUUGCUUCCAUAAUUCAUGCAGCCUCAAGCUUUUGUGAUGAGAGGAGAACUUGCCGCUUUUGAAAAUGUGAACUCAGUUGAAAAAAAGAGAUGGGGGAGACACUGAACAGGCUCCCACCAAUUAGCUAUGUUUGCUCUAACUGAAGCCCAAACCCUGUUCCCUGCUUCUGCUCCUCAUGAUCCAAUGCAGUCAAGAAUCCCAAGGAAGAAGCAGAGUCACAAGGAAUCAGUAAUCCAGAUGUACUAUGUAAAAAGUUCAAUAAAAAGAGAAAUUAUCAAAAA